UACAGAGGUCCCGAGCGUUGUUCGGAUUCAUUGGGCGUAAAGGGUGCGUAGGCGGUCUGCCAAGUUUGGUGUGAAAUCCCGGGGCUCAACCCUGGAAUUGCAUUGAAUACUGGUGGACUAGAGUACCGGAGAGGAAACUGGAAUUUACGGUGUAGCAGUGAAAUGCGUAGAGAUCGUAAGGAAGACCAGUGGCGAAGGCGAGUUUCUGGACGGUAACUGACGCUGAGGCACGAAGGCCAGGGGAGCAAACGGG
rnacentral:rRNA from 1 species